UCCAAAAAUAGGUCUUCACUUCUUGACACUCUAUCUCCUCUUAUCUCAGUCACAAAAACCCUAAGAACUCUGAAAUCCAAAGCACCAUCAGUGGUAAGCAGCUCAAGAAUCCUUUAGCUUUCUUUGCUGCAUCUGGGAUAUUUGAGCUAUCUACCUCGAAACCAUU